ensembl:lncRNA
AUUUUGUGUUUUGCUUAAUGCCAAGUUUUAUUGUCUACAAGUCAAGAGAGAAAAUACAGAAUGACUGCACUAAUAGCAAAUGUUUCCCAUGUCCCAUACACCAAGAAGAGAAUGAAUAUGUAAGAUCUCCAUGCCUCGUACAAUGGGUGACAUAUCCAAGUGCAUUGCAGAUCUUUGAUAAUUAAAAGACAGUGUGAAAGAAGGAAGAUGACAGCUUCAAUUUGGAAACCAGAAGAAAAUCAGUAGGCAUGCACUCCAUCAUCGUGUGAAACAGAAGGAAGGUCAGGUCUCCAUCCCCUUGUGCCUGUUUCUCCUAUGCAGGGCAGGUUCAGCAGCACUUCUUGACGGUGGUGCAGCACUGCCUGAUGGGUACGCAGCACUUCCUCAGCGGGGAGCAGUACUGCACGGGGCUGCAACACACCACAACGGGCUUCUUCUUCACCACGUAGGAGCAGCAGGACAGACGGCCAGAGCAGCAGCAGGGGCGGCAGCAGGUCUGCAGGCACUGCUGGCUACAGCAGCUGCAGCAGGGCUUCUGGCACGGGUCACAGCAAGUCUGGCACGGGUCACAGCAUGGCUUCUGGCAUGGGUCACAGCAAGUCUGGCAUGGAUCACAGCAAGGCUUCUGGCACGGGUCACAGCAGACGGUCUUCUGGCAUGGGUCACAGCAGACGGUCUUCUGGCACGGGUCACAGCAAGUCUGGCACGGGUCACAGCAAGUCUGGCAGGGGUCACAGCAAGGCUUCUGGCACGGGUCACAGCAGACAGUCUUCUGGCACGGGUCACAGCAAGUCUGGCACGGGUCACAGCAAGGCUUCUGGCACGGGUCACAGCAGACAGUCUUCUGACACGGGUCACAGCAAGUCUGGCAUGGGUCACAGCACGGCUUUUGGCACGGGUCACAGCAAGUCUGGCAGGGGUCACAGCAUGGCUUCUGGCAUGGAUCACAGCAAGUCUGGCACGGGUCACAGCAAGGCUUCUGGCAUGGGUCACAGCAAGUCUGGCAUGGGUCACAGCAAGGCUUCUGGCACGGGUCACAGCAAGUCUGGCAUGGGUCACAGCAAGGCUUCUGGCACGGGUCACAGCAGACAGUCUUCUCACAGCAGACAGUCUUCUGACACGGGUCACAGCAGACUGUCUUCUGACAGGGGCUGCAGCACACUGUCUUGCUCUUCACAACAGAGCAGCAUCCACUGGAGCAACACACGUUGGGGCACAUGGUGUUUGUUGGUAAUGUAGUCCAAGCUGGAGGGAGCGAGGAUCUGAAAGGCAAUGCACAUUAAGAUACAAUCCAUCUUUUCAAGUUCAGAGAUGUGUUUUAUUUUGGCAUGCUG